AUCUUCUCCAAACACAUAAGAACUGGGAGACAGUGUACAUAUUGAGUUCAAAGAUGAAGUUUUAUCAGGAAACACAAACUCUUUAUGAUUAUUCAAACCAGAUUUUAGCAAAGACAUAACCACUAAGUUGGAAAUUCAUGACCCCAGUCAUAUAUAACAUUCAAGGCUGUUUUUAAGCAAAACCAGAGUGCAUCCAAAGUGCUUAAGGCAUCAACUGGUACAAGUAGUUCAUCAAGAGUAAAUGGCUCUAUAAUGAACAAAUAAUGAAACUAAAAUUUAGAACCUCAAAAAGGUAAUUGACAUGAAGUGGUAAAGUCAGAUAAUAUGGUUAAAUAAAGGCAUUAGAAAAAAGAUGAUGACUUGUGCCAAGGGAUUUCAACUCAGCCAAUUGUCAUCCAUAAAUCCAUAAACUUUUCUGUCUUUUGCUCCUAUGAACUAUAGAGACAAUACCCUUUCACAAUCUGACUUGCGCUUGCAAAAGAUUUUAUGACAAUAGCAACGCCACCUAAUAUUUUGGCAAGAUUCUAGAGUUAUAUCUGAUCAUAAAACAAAUAUGCAUAAGGACCUUACAACCAAUAGCUUUGGGAGGAGAAUUUAGCCCUGCAUUUGAAAUUAAAAGGAAUUCAUACAAGUUCCUCUUUUUUUUAAAUUGUCAGCAUUGCUCAACAUGACACAGGUUAGAGCUUAGAGGUAAGCACUAAUCAACCAUUGGUAUCAUCCUAUCCAAGCUCUGUGUAGCCAUUAUUCUUCAAAAAAUUGAAUGGCUAUUGAAAUAAUCCAAUGGAGAUAAUUCCCAAUAACAUAAACAAUUAGCUGCUAUAAUUCCCAAGAACAUAAACAAUUAGCUGCUACAAACUUGGAGUUGUCAACCGGGCAUUUGAAUACAUUAAAAACAAAGAAUCAAUUUUGACAUCAAAUUCAAUCAAAUGAAAAACCAAUUCGCCUCUCUAGCAAACCAACCAUAAAGAAUAACAUUCUAAAACAGCCUUUCUGAAAUCACAACAGACCCAUUAACCAUCCGAAGCAAAAGAGCAUAUAAAAUAUAAUAUCUCGUAGGAAAACGAGAAGUGGGUUAUAA
rnacentral:misc_RNA from 1 species